UACAGAGGCCUCGAGCGUUAGGCGGAAUCACUGGGCUUAAAGCGUGUGUAGGUGGAGUUCUAAGUACCUUGUGAAAUCCCACGGCUCAACCGUGGAACUGCUGGGUAUACUGGUUCUCUUGAGGUACCUAGGGGCGAGCGGAACAAGUGGUGGAGCGGUGAAAUGCGUAGAUAUCUGGAGGAAUACCGGUGGCGAAGGCGGCAUCCUGGACCGGCAUUGACGCUGAGUGAGCGAAAGCUAGGGGAGCAAACGGG
rnacentral:rRNA from 1 species